UACAGAGGCCUCAAGCGUUAGGCGGAAUCACUGGGCUUAAAGCGUGUGUAGGCGGACUUCUAAGUACCUUGUGAAAUCCCACGGCUUAACUGUGGAACUGCUUGGUAUACUGGUUGUCUUGAGCCAGCUCAGGGGCGAGCGGAACAAAUGGUGGAGCGGUGAAAUGCGUAGAUAUCAUUUGGAACGCCAAUGGUGAAAACAGCUCGCUGGGGGUGUGCUGACGCUGGAGAACACGAAAGCCAGGGGAGCGAACGGG
rnacentral:rRNA from 1 species